GACGUAGGGCGCGAGCGUUGUCCGGAUUUAUUGGGCGUAAAGAGCUCGUAGGCGGUUUGUUACGUCUGCUGUGAAAACCUAGGGCUUAACCCUGGGCUUGCAGUGGAUACGGGCAGACUAGAGGUAGGUAGGGGAGAAUGGAAUUCCUGGUGUAGCGGUGAAAUGCGCAGAUAUCAGGAGGAACACCGGUGGCGAAGGCGGUUCUCUGGGCCUUACCUGACACUGAGGAGCGAAAGCGUGGGGAGCGAACAGG
rnacentral:rRNA from 1 species